rnacentral:rRNA from 1 species
AGAUUGAACGCUGGCGGCAUGCUUUACACAUGCAAGUCGAACGGCAGCACGGGGGCAACCCUGGUGGCGAGUGGCGAACGGGUGAAUAAUGCAUCGGAACGUAUCUUCAAGUGGGGGAUAACGCAUCGAAAGAUGCGCUAAUACCGCAUAAUCUCCGAGGAGAAAAGCAGGGGAUCGCAAGACCUUGCGCUUUUGGAGCGGCCGAUGUCUGAUUAGCUAGUUGGUGAGGUAAAGGCUUACCAAGGCUUCGAUCAGUAGCUGGUCUGAGAGGACGAUCAGCCACACUGGGACUGAGACACGGCCCAGACUCCUACGGGAGCAGCAGUGGGAAUCUUGCGCAAUGGGCGAAAGCCUGACGCAGCAACGCCGCGUGCGGGAUGAA